UGCAGCUCAGAGGUAGAGAGUUUGCCUACCAUGUAUCAGGCCUUGGGUUCAAUCCCCAGUACUGCAA
rnacentral:tRNA from 1 species